GGAAUCUUCCGCAAUGGGCGCAAGCCUGACGGAGCAAUACCGCGUGAGGGAGGACGGCUUUUGGGUUGUAAACCUCUUUUAUCAGGGAAGAAGAUCUGACGGUACCUGAUGAAUCAGCAUCGGCUAACUCCGUGCCAGCAGCCGCGGUAAUACGGAGGAUGCAAGCGUUAUCCGGAAUUAUUGGGCGUAAAGCGUCCGCAGGUGGUUAUCCAAGUCUGCUGUUAAAGCGCGAGGCUUAACUUCGUACAGGCAGUGGAAACUGGAUGACUAGAGUAUGGUAGGGGUCGCGGGAAUUCCCAGUGUAGCGGUGAAAUGCGUAGAUAUUGGGAAGAACACCAGCGGCGAAAGCGCGCGACUGGGCCAUAACUGACACUCAUGGACGAAAGCUAGGGGAGCGAAAAGGAUUAGAUACCCCUGUAGUC
rnacentral:rRNA from 1 species